UACGAAGGUUGCAAGCGUUACUCGGAAUUACUAGGCGUAAAGGGCAGGUAGGUGGUUUGGUAAGUCUAUUGUGAAAGCUCCCGGCUUAACCGGGAGAGGCCAAUGGAUACUACCAGGCUUGAGUAUAGGAGAGGUUACUGGAAUUCCCGGAGUAGCGGUGAAAUGCGCAGAUAUCGGGAGGAACACCAAUGGCGAAAGCGGGUAACUGGACUAUUACUGACACUCAACUGCGAAAGCUAGGGGAGCAAACAGG
rnacentral:rRNA from 1 species